UACGUAGGGUCCGAGCGUUGUCCGGAAUUAUUGGGCGUAAAGCGUGCGCAGGCGGCUGCUCAAGUCAGGGGUGAAAGCCCGAGGCUCAACCUCGGAACUGCCUUCGAUACUGCGGGUCUCGAGUCCGGGAGAGGUGAGUGGAAUUCCUAGUGUAGAGGUGAAAUUCGUAGAUAUUAGGAAGAACACCAGUGGCGAAGGCGGCUCACUGGCCCGGUACUGACGCUGAGGCGCGAAAGCGUGGGAGCAAACAGGG
rnacentral:rRNA from 1 species